rnacentral:RNase_P_RNA from 1 species
GAAGCUGACCAGACAGUCGCCGCUUCGUCGUCGUCCUCUUAGGGGGAGACGGGCGGAGGGGAGGAAAGUCCGGGCUCCAUAGGGCAAGGUGCCAGGUAACGCCUGGGGGGUGUCACAGCCCACGACCAGUGCAACAGAGAGCAAACCGCCGAUGGCCCGCGCAAGCGGGAUCAGGUAAGGGUGAAAGGGUGCGGUAAGAGCGCACCGCGCGGCUGGUAACAGCCCGCGGCACGGUAAACUCCACCCGGAGCAAGGCCAAAUAGGGGUUCAUAAGGUACGGCCCGUACUGAACCCGGGUAGGCUGCUUGAGCCAGUGAGCGAUUGCUGGCCUAGAUGAAUGACUGUCCACGACAGAACCCGGCUUAUCGGUCAGUUUCACCU